rnacentral:rRNA from 1 species
AAUCAACGCUGGCGGCGUGCCUAACACAUGCAAGUCGAACGCGAAAGUCCCGCAAGGGAUAAGUAGAGUGGCAAACGGGUGAGUAACACGUGGGUGACCUGCCUUCGAGUGGGGGAUAACGUCCCGAAAGGGACGCUAAUACCGCAUAACAUCCUGCCUUUUAACAGGUGGACAUCAAAGCUGGGGAUCGCAAGACCUAGCGCUUGAAGAGGGGCCCGCGCCUGAUUAGCUAGUGGUGGGGUAAUGGCUCACCAAGGCGAUGAUUGGUAGGGGUUCUGAGAGGAAGGUCCCCCACACUGGUACUGAGAUACGGGACCAGACUCCUACGGGAGGCAGCAGUAAGGAAUAUUGGACAAUGGCCGCAAGGCUGAUCCAGCCAUGCCGCGUGCAGGAAGAAGGUGCUAUGCAUUGUAAACUGCUUUUGUCCCCGGAAUAAACCCCCUCUACGUGUAGAGGGCUGAAUGUACGGGAAGAA